rnacentral:rRNA from 1 species
GACGAACGCUGGCGGCGUGCUUAACACAUGCAAGUCGAACGGAAAGGCCCUGCUUUUGUGGGGUGCUCGAGUGGCGAACGGGUGAGUAACACGUGAGUAACCUGCCCUUGACUUUGGGAUAACUUCAGGAAACUGGGGCUAAUACCGGAUAGGAGCUCCUGCUGCAUGGUGGGGGUUGGAAAGUUUCGGCGGUUGGGGAUGGACUCGCGGCUUAUCAGCUUGUUGGUGGGGUAGUGGCUUACCAAGGCUUUGACGGGUAGCCGGCCUGAGAGGGUGACCGGCCACAUUGGGACUGAGAUAAGGCCCAGACUCCUACGGGAGGCAGCAGUGGGGAAUAGUGCACAAUGGGCGGAAGCCUGAUGCAGCAACGCCGCGGGCGGGAUGACGGCCUUCGGGUUGUAAACCGCUUUCGCCUGUGACGAAGCGUGAGUGACGGUAAUGGGUAAAGAAGCACCGGCUAACUACGUG